UCCCUGGAGGAUUAGUGGUUGGGCCAUGGCGCUUUCAGCACUGCAGCCUGGGUUUGAUUCCCGGCCAGGGAA